rnacentral:rRNA from 1 species
GACGAACGCUGGCGGCGUGCUUAACACAUGCAAGUCGAACGGAAAGGCCCUGCUUUUGUGGGGUGCUCGAGUGGCGAACGGGUGAGUAACACGUGAGUAACCUGCCCUUGACUUUGGGAUAACUUCAGGAAACUGGGGCUAAUACCGGAUAGGAGCUCCUGCUGCAUGGUGGGGGUUGGAAAGUUUCGGCGGUUGGGGACGGACUCGCGGCUUAUCAGCUGGUUGGUGGGGUAGUGGCCUACCAAGGCUUUGACGGGUAGCCGGCCUGAGAGGGUGACCGGCCACAUUGGGACUGAGAUACGGCCCAGACUCCUACGGGAGGCAGCAGUGGGGAAUAUUGCACAAUGGGCGGAAGCCUGAUGCAGCAACGCCGCGUGCGGGAUGACGGCCUUCGGGUUGUAAACCGCUUUCGCCUGUGACGAAGCGUGAGUGACGGUAAUGGGUAAAGAAGCACCGGCUAACUACGUG